CUAUACUGCAGUCGAGCGGACAGAUGGGAGCUUGCUCCCUGAUGUUAGCGGCGGACGGGUGAGUAACACGUGGGUAACCUGCCUGUAAGACUGGGAUAACUCCGGGAAACCGGGGCUAAUACCGGAUGGUUGUUUGAACCGCAUGGUUCAGACAUAAAAGGUGGCUUCGGCUACCACUUACAGAUGGACCCGCGGCGCAUUAGCUAGUUGGUGAGGUAACGGCUCACCAAGGCGACGAUGCGUAGCCGACCUGAGAGGGUGAUCGGCCACACUGGGACUGAGACACGGCCCAGACUCCUACGGGAGGCAGCAGUAGGGAAUCUUCCGCAAUGGACGAAAGUCUGACGGAGCAACGCCGCGUGAGUGAUGAAGGUUUUCGGAUCGUAAAGCUCUGUUGUUAGGGAAGAACAAGUGCCGUUCAAAUAGGGCGGCACCUUGACGGUACCUAACCAGAAAGCCACGGCUAACUACGUGCCAGCAGCCGCGGUAAUACGUAGGUGGCAAGCGUUGUCCGGAAUUAUUGGGCGUAAAGGGCUCGCAGGCGGUUUCUUAAGUCUGAUGUGAAAGCCCCCGGCUCAACCGGGGAGGGUCAUUGGAAACUGGGGAACUUGAGUGCAGAAGAGGAGAGUGGAAUUCCACGUGUAGCGGUGAAAUGCGUAGAGAUGUGGAGGAACACCAGUGGCGAAGGCGACUCUCUGGUCUGUAACUGACGCUGAGGAGCGAAAGCGUGGGGAGCGAACAGGAUUAGAUACCCUGGUAGUCCACGCCGUAAACGAUGAGUGCUAAGUGUUAGGGGGUUUCCGCCCCUUAGUGCUGCAGCUAACGCAUUAAGCACUCCGCCUGGGGAGUACGGUCGCAAGACUGAAACUCAAAGGAAUUGACGGGGGCCCGCACAAGCGGUGGAGCAUGUGGUUUAAUUCGAAGCAACGCGAAGAACCUUACCAGGUCUUGACAUCCUCUGACAAUCCUAGAGAUAGGACGUCCCCUUCCGGGGCAGAGUGACAGGUGGUGCAUGGNUGUCGUCAGCUCCUGUCCUGAGAUGUUGGGUUAAGUCCNGCAACGAGCGCAACCCUUGAUCUUAGUUGCCA
rnacentral:rRNA from 1 species